CUACGGGAGGCAGCAGUGGGGAAUAUUGCACAAUGGGCGCAAGCCUGAUGCAGCCAUGCCGCGUGUAUGAAGAAGGCCUUCGGGUUGUAAAGUACUUUCAGCGGGGAGGAAGGCGGUGAAGUUAAUAGCUUCACCGAUUGACGUUACCCGCAGAAGAAGCACCGGCUAACUCCGUGCCAGCAGCCGCGGUAAUACGGAGGGUGCAAGCGUUAAUCGGAAUUACUGGGCGUAAAGCGCACGCAGGCGGUCUGUCAA
rnacentral:rRNA from 1 species